UCCUGGGUAGUUCAAAUGGUAAAGAAUCUGCCUGCAAUGCUGGAGACCUGGGUUCGAUCCCUGGAUCAGGAA
rnacentral:tRNA from 1 species